rnacentral:lncRNA from 1 species
UUGAAUGGCUCUAGAAGACUGAAGUCGGACGAGGGUAGCAACAUUCGCUGCUAGACUUAGGCGGAGAGUGUGAUUUAAUUUAAGCGGAGGAAUUGUGGUCCCAUGUGUUCUUGUAAAUUUGAAAUUACGAUGACUAUGAUAUGAAGGAUGUAACAAUUCCCUCUAAUAAUAGAGUAAUAGAACAUAACUUUUGUCAAUG